rnacentral:misc_RNA from 1 species
UAAGUUGUAAGAAUAACUACGAAUGUCUUUGAUACCAUCGGUAGUCGUUGUUGGAAAAUAGUCGUGUUUCGGUAAUUGUGGUAGUUGGUCGGUUGAAUAUUUAUUUAAUUGCUAAUAUUGUUAAACAGUUUGUUGGUCACACGUUGUGUAGCAGGUAUUAAGUUUUUGACAUUAAGAAUUUUACUUGGAUUAACUUGGCGCCUUUUUUCUUCGUUAAAAGAAACAGAAAUAAUCAAAUAUUUUAGUUUGGAGUGGUAUGUUGAUAAAUUUUAGCCGCUAUGGAUCCCAGUGCUUUACAAAACAUGGAUCGGGACGCAUUAAAGAAACAAAUCGAAAACAUGAAAUAUCAGGCCAAUAUGGAAAGAUGGCCGUUGUCUAAAAGCAUUGCAGAAAUGCGAUCGUUUGUCGAGGAGAAUGAGAAAAAUGAUCCUCUUAUAAACGCCCCAGAUAAAAAAAAUAAUCCGUGGGCUGAAAAGGGAAAGUGUGUUAUUAUGUAAUAUUAUCGUAAACCACAAAAAUACCCAAAUAUUAAACAAAAACAGUUGCAACAUAAACUACAACAACAAAAAUAUAAUAGUUAUCAAUAUCAUCAACAAUUUAAUACAAAUACGAACCACUCCAACCACAACAAUAACAACUACACUGGCAACAGCAGACAACUAGAUAGUCAUAAAGACUUUUUAGAACCUUCAAGAACAAACAAAUUCUUAACAAAAUUAAAGAGAAGAACACAAAGAGAAAUCCUACAAAGGCCAAUCCUACAGCAUCUACUGGUUUUAAUGAUAUGGUUGCAAGCUAAAUUUUGGCAAAUCUAUUACGAGAUAAUUAUGAGAGUAAAACAUUGAGUAAAUUUAAGAACAAUCAAGAUGGAUAAUGACGACCAAACGUUGAUCUAAAUUAUGACUGUCUAACUGACUGCUGAAGGGCAGCCCCUUAAUAAAGUGUCAAAUAUCUUAAUAAAAAGAUGUUAGGUAUCUGUAUCAAUUAAAACAUGUAAUCCGCUUCCCAUAAUCAUAAGUUUAUUACUAUUAAGUAUAUUUUUCUUUACUUUACCUAACAUACUAAUUAUAACAAAAUCAAACAAUUUGCAUAAUUUCUUUAAAGCAAAUCAUGAAA